rnacentral:rRNA from 1 species
AUUGAACGCUGGCGGCAUGCUUUACACAUGCAAGUCGAACGGGGUGCGGGGGGCAACUCACGCAUUCAGUGGCGGACGGGUGAGUAAUGCAUCGGAACGUAUCCCGUAGUGGGGGACAACCCAGCGAAAGCUGGGCUAAUACCGCAUAUGCUCUACGGAGGAAAGUGGGGGACCCGCGAGGGCCUCACGCUAUGGGAGCGGCCGAUGUCCGAUUAGCUAGUUGGUGGGGUAAAGGCCCACCAAGGCGACGAUCGGUAGCUGGUCUGAGAGGAUGAUCAGCCACACUGGGACUGAGACACGGCCCAGACUCCUACGGGAGGCAGCAGUGGGGGAUUUUGGACAAUGGGGGCAACCCUGAUCCAGCCAUGCCGCGUGCGGGAAGAAGGCCUUCGGGUUGUAAACCGCUUUUGGCCGGGAAGAAAGGGCGCUGGAUAAUACCUGGCGCUGUUGACGGUACCGGCAGAAUAAGCACCGGCUAACUACGUGCCAGCAGCCGCAGUAAGAC